CAGUUCCAGAAGGACCUGGGGAUGCAGCUUGCACCCUUGCAUGUUAGACGUAAACAGGACCAGGGAGAAUGAGUGAAAGGCCGAGCGGAUUCAGGGAGCUGGUUAUUCCCCAAGCCUGUGUCAACCUGUGGAGAAAGCCACCUCAAUCCACCAGCCAGCAUCUUAGUCUAGUACAGAUGGACUCCUGUGCAGAGCUACAGAGUUGCUGCUUUUUGCCUUACCAGGUGGAUUGGCACUGAGCAGCCCAGCCUGUGAGCAAGCUAUCUGGGACCUACUAUGAGCACCUGUGGUACCCUGUGAAUCCCCAUGAACCUUUGUGAGCCCCCACAAGCUUCAAUGAGCCCCACAAACUACAAGUUCUUU